ACACCAGCAAGAGCCCUCAGGAUGCUGCUGCUCCCGCUCCUGGCCCUGGCUGCAACCUGGUCUCAUGGACGAGCACAAGUGCUUCUGAAACAGACUCCAAUAGCCAUUACCAGAGGGCAAAGUAAAACUGCACGGAUUGACUGUAGAGCCGAGGGCAUAUCUAACUUCCAGUCUGAAUAUAUACAUUGGUACCGACAUAUACCUUCCAAAGCUCCCGAACGGAUUCUGUUUAUUGGAGCAGGACACGUUUCUUAUGAUGACAACUCCUAUAGGAAUAAGUAUUCUGCUUCGAAGAACAGAGAAAACAUCUGCUCUUUCUCAGUCAAUGACAUCAACUCCAAUGAUGAAGGUACCUACUACUGUGCCUACCGGCAGUCCCACAGAACUAUCAAACCACAGGCAGUCUGUACAGAAAGCUGCCUGUACCCUGAGCAGCAAGCUUUCCGUCAAAUGCAGAGAACCACAAUUGCACCUUCCUGCCUUUAAAAUAUCCCAACAGGUUUAUGCUGAGUACAUAAGUAUAAAUAACAGACAAAGAGAAAAGUGAAGAAAUG